UAAUUGACCGGACCAGCUCGACCAGAGAGGCGGAUCCCACAGGGCAGAUCUUCAAGAGGGGCCAUGUGUGUCAUGGCGUGUACUUCCCCACACUCACCAACAGCUUCCGGGACCAGCAGCUGGAGGUGGCUUUCCAGCGGUACUCCCACAGACAGCGGCAGAAGUCACUCAUCAUGGUGAACGGGGUGGACCUGGCCCUCAAGCUGGUCCUCCUCGCCAUCGUUCUGCUCCAGGAGAAAAACCAGUAUACUGCAGAGAUCAUCUACUCCCUGGGCUGGAUGGUUGUAAAUGCCGUCCUGUGCGUGUUGUCGUGGUGGCGCUGCUUCGCUAACAACUACCUGCACUGGGGCGCCCUCUGCACCU